AUACGUAGGGGGCAAGCGUUAUCCGGAAUUACUGGGUGUAAAGGGAGCGUAGGCGGCAAUGCAAGUCAGAUGUGAAAGCCCGUGGCUUAACCACGGGACUGCAUUUGAAACUGUAUAGCUAGAGUACAGGAGAGGAAAGUGGAAUUCCUAGUGUAGCGGUGAAAUGCGUAGAUAUUAGGAGGAACACCAGUGGCGAAGGCGGCUUUCUGGACUGUAACUGACGCUGAGGCUCGAAAGCGUGGGGAGCGAACAGGAUUAGAUACCCUGGUAGUCCACGCUGUAAACGAUGAAUGCUAGGUGUUGGCCCGUAGAGGGUCGGUGCCGCAGUAAACACAUUAAGCAUUCCACCUGGGGAGUACGAUCGCAAGAUUGAA
rnacentral:rRNA from 1 species